rnacentral:rRNA from 1 species
UGGGGAAUAUUGGACAAUGGGGGGAACCCUGAUCCAGCCAUGCCGCGUGUGUGAAGAAGGCCUUAUGGUUGUAAAGCACUUUAAGCGAGGAGGAGGGUACUGGUAUUAAUACUACCAGGUACUGGACGUUACUCGCAGAAUAAGCACCGGCUAACUCUGUGCCAGCAGCCGCGGUAAUACAGAGGGUGCGAGCGUUAAUCGGAUUUACUGGGCGUAAAGCGUGCGUAGGCGGCUAAUUGAGUCGGAUGUGAAAUCCCCGAGCUUAACUUGGGAAUUGCAUUCGAUACUGGUUAGCUGGAGUGUGGGAGAGGAUGGUAGAAUUCCAGGUGUAGCGGUGAAAUGCGUAGAGAUCUGGAGGAAUACCGAUGGCGAAGGCAGCCAUCUGGCCUAACACUGACGCUGAGGUACGAAAGCAUGGGGAGCAAACAGG